UAAUACAUGCAAGUCGAACGGUCAGUAGCAAUACUGAUAGUGGCGCACGGGUGCGUAACACGUAACUAACCUACCCAUCAUUGGGGGAUAGCCCGCCGAAAGGCGGAUUAAUACCGCAUAAGACUAUAGAGCGGCAUCGCUUAGUAGUUAAAGAUUUAUUGAUGAUGGAUGGGGUUGCGGGUCAUUAGCUAGUUGGUAAGGUAACGGCUUACCAAGGCGACGAUGACUAGGGGAGCUGAGAGGCUGGUCCCCCACACGGGCACUGAGAUACGGGCCCGACUCCUACGGGAGGCAGCAGUAGGGAAUAUUGGGCAAUGGGCGAGAGCCUGACCCAGCCAUGCCGCGUGCAGGAAGAAGGCUUUCUGAGUCGUAAACUGCUUUUGACAGGGAAGAAUAAGCUUCACGUGUGAAGUGAUGACGGUACC
rnacentral:rRNA from 1 species